GAUGAAGAACGUAGCGAAAUGCGAUACGUAAUGUGAAUUGCAAAUUCAGUGAAUCAUCGAGUCUUUGAACGCACAUUGCGCCCCCUGGUAUUCCGGGGGGCAUGCCUGUCCGAGCGUCAUUGCUGCCCUCAAGCACGGCUUGUGUGUUGGGCCCCGUCCUCCGAUCCCGGGGGACGGGCCCGAAAGGCAGCGGCGGCACCGCGUCCGGUCCUCGAGCGUAUGGAGCUUUGUCACCCGCUCUGUAGGCCCGGCCGGCGCUUGCCGAUCAACCCAAAUUUUUAUCCAGGUUGACCUCGGAUCAGGUAGGGAUACCCGCUGAACUUAAGCAUAUCAAUAAGCGGAGGA
rnacentral:misc_RNA from 1 species